rnacentral:rRNA from 1 species
AUUGAACGCUGGCGGCAGGCCUAACACAUGCAAGUCGAACGAGUGGCGGACGGGUGAGUAAUGUCUGGGAAACUGCCUGAUGGAGGGGGAUAACUACUGGAAACGGUAGCUAAUACCGCAUACCAUCGGAUGUGCCCAGAUGGGAUUAGCUAGUAGGUGGGGUAAAGGCUCACCUAGGCGACGACCCCUCGCUGGUCUGAGAGGAUGACCAGCAACACUGGAACGGGGACACGGGCCAGAUGCCUACGGGAGGAAGAAGUGGGGAAUAUUGCAAAAUGGGCGAAAGCCGGAGGAAGCCAGGCCGCGGGUAUGAAGAAGGCCUUCGGGUUGUAAAGUACGUUCAGCGGGGAGGCGGUACCCGCAGAAGAAGCACCGGCUAACUCCGUGCCAGCAGCCGCGGUAAUUC